rnacentral:ncRNA from 1 species
ACGAAAUUAGGGGAUCGAAGACGAUCAGAUACCGUCGUAGUCUUAACCAUAAACUAUGCCGACUAGGGAUCGGACGAUGUUAUUUUUUGACUCGUUCGGCACCUUACGAGAAAUCAAAGUGCUUGGGCUCCAGGGGGAGUAUGGUCGCAAGGCUGAAACUUAAAGAAAUUGACGGAAGGGCACCACCAGGGGUAAACAGUAGCCGUUCAAGCUCUGCCCCAGACAGCGAGCCCGUAAAGGGUCCGGUGGUCAGCCCCGAAUCGCUAGUCACCUCAGCGGUGGCGACAUCCCCCAAUUGCGGGAAACCCUCGAAGGGUGGCACUCCCAAGCAGCGCUCGAAAGAGACGCUGUGGCGGCGGCGUAACGGCCGCCGGUACGGGGACAACGUGCCGCUCAUGAGGCGACUCGCAGCCAAGCCCCUAACCACGGGGAAGGUUCAGAGACUCGACGGGGAUGGGUGGCGCCCGCCGGGCGCCGCCUAAGAUAGAGUCCGUACCCGCUCGAGAGAGCGGGGACUAACUAGCACGUUACCUGAAAAGGGAGCCUGCGGCUUAAUUUGACUCAACACGGGGAAACUCACCAGGUCCAGACACAAUGAGGAUUGACAGAUUGAGAGCUCUUUCUUGAUUUUGUGGGUGGUGGUGCAUGGCCGUUCUUAGUUGGUGGAGUGAUUUGUCUGCUUAAUUGCGAUAACGAACGAGACCUUAACCUGCUAAAUAGCCCGUAUUGCUUU